AACGUGCGAAUGUGUUCUGCUGUC
rnacentral:siRNA from 1 species